AUUGAACGCUGGCGGCAUGCUUUACACAUGCAAGUCGAACGGCAGCGCGGGCUUUGGCCUGGCGGCGAGUGGCGAACGGGUGAGUAAUACAUCGGAACGUGCCCAGUAGUGGGGGAUAGCUCGGCGAAAGCCGGAUUAAUACCGCAUACGACCUGAGGGUGAAAGCGGGGGAUCUUCGGACCUCGCGCUAUUGGAGCGGCCGAGGGCAGAUUAGCUAGUUGGUGGGGUAAAGGCCUACCAAGGCGACGAUCUGUAGCUGGUCUGAGAGGACGACCAGCCACACUGGAACUGAGACACGGCCCAGACUCCUACGGGAGGCAGCAGUGGGGAAUUUUGGACAAUGGGCGAAAGCCUGAUCCAGCAAUGCCGCGUGUGUGAUGAAGGCCUUCGGGUUGUAAAGCACUUUUGGCGGGAACGAAAAGGACUGUGCCAAUACCACGGUUCGAUGACGGUACCCGCAGAAUAAGCACCGGCUAACUACGCG
rnacentral:rRNA from 1 species